rnacentral:snoRNA from 1 species
UUUAAAAAAUCUUAACAAUGUGAGUAAGGUAGGAGACUCUAUUUUUUGAAUAAAGACAUGAGUUGUGUCCAUUAUAUUGAGAAGAAGUUGAUCAUAGAAACAAUUCAAGAAUAUUAUAAUAAGCGACUGAAUUUGCC